rnacentral:rRNA from 1 species
CAGCCGCCACGGUAAUACCGGCGGCCCGAGUGGCGGUCACUAUUAUUGGGCUUAAAACGUCCGUAGCCGGGUUGGGAAGUCCUCCGGGAAAUCUGGCCGCUUAACGGUCAGAAUGCCGGAGGAUACUCCCAGCCUAGGGAGCGGGAGAGGCCGAGGGGAUUCCCGGAGUAGGGGGGAAAUCCUAUAAUCCCGGGGGGACCACCUGUGGCGAAGGCGCUCGGCUGGAACGCGUCCGACGGUGAGGGACGAAGGCCAGGGGAGCAAACCGGAUUAGAUACCCGGGUAGUCCUGGCUGUAAACGAUGCGGACUUUGUGUCGGACAAGCUAUGAGCUUGUCCGGUGCCGGAGGGAAACCGUUAAGUCCGCCGCCUGGGGAGUACGGCCGCAAGGCUGAAACUUAAAGGAAUUGGCGGG